rnacentral:pre_miRNA from 1 species
UAGUCCUCGCCACUGCUACCCAGAUAGCAGUACUUGCUGUUAGAAUUAUGAGCCGCAGUAAGUGCUUACCUGUUUGGGCAUCAGCGGUAGAGGAAUU